UCCCUAAAACAGUUAUGAUUCCAACCUUCUCUUCUUUUCCAUUUAGAUGACAUAAUCCUUGAAGACCUGGAGGCAGAGCAGGGGCAGGACAGCUUUGAUACUGACUCCAUGAGCCACAGAACCUGAACACGGAGUUUGCCAUCGCUCUUUACCAACGCUGGGCAGAGCUCCACCACGGAACGACCCUCGCCAUUUCCCCAGUGAGCGUGGCUCUUUCUCUGGGUGCAAGGGAGCACAUUGGCCCAACUGCAGCCUGCUCUGGGACACAGCACUCAUGGUAAGGCAACCUUCUGAGAAACAGCUUUUCAGUGAGCAGCGCAGGCUGUCGUCGGCUUCGCCUGACAGCUUGGACUGUCCUGGUAGGCAGAGCAUAUAAAAACAAAAGCAUGUCAUCCAAGGGGACUUACUUCUGAGUUAACCCCCUUUCAUGCCAUGCUCUUCACUUCAAUGGGCUUUACAUGCGCAUCCUACAGCUUUCAAGUACAUUCUUUCCCCCAAAGAGUUCUGGGCACGGUAGUUCACUCCUCACAGAGUUGCCAGUCCCAGCAACACUCCAGGAACUGCAGUGUCCAGAAUUCUUUAAGGAAAGAAUGUGCCUCAGGGGUUGGACUAGAUGGCCCUUAGGUCCCUUCUAACUCUACAAUUCUAUGAUUCUGUGAAUGCACAUGGAACCAUGUAUUGGUGUGUGCUGAAAGCUAUCCACACCUUGGUUCUGUUGAAAUCAGUUAGUCACAGCUAGCUAAGUCCCAUUGAUUUAUGAAAGUGUGGCUGAUUUACAGCACAAUCCUAUGCAUGUCUACUCAGAAGUAAGCCCUGUUGACUUCAAUGAGGGUUACUCCCAAAUAAGUGGGUACAGGAUUGUGGAUUCAUAUCAACAGAGGAGCAGCUUUUGAUUUAACUGUCUCACCUGCUAUGGACUAUUUAAUGCAAAAAAGUGACAUGUCUACUCAGAACUAUGUCCUUGUGAAUUCCAUGGGGCUUACUCCCAAGUAAAUGGACAGAGAAGUAAUUAAGACCCUUCAGCAUAUAUGUUGAUUUCAGAAUAACAUUAGUCCCUAAGGUCUCUCUGUAACUGUCUGAGGCCUAUUUUGAGGUUUAGAUACAUAAACAUAUCCCGUGUGGCUCUUUGUUUCCCUGUGGGCUAUGCAGACCUCCUCCCUUCCUCACAUGGAGGAAGAUGACCCAGGGCAACAUGAAGGUAAUGUCUUUUUCCAUGUAUAUGUUGUUGUUGUUUAGUUGUUUAGUCGUGUCCGACUCUUCGUGACCCCAUGGACCAGAGCACGCCAGGCACUCCUGUCUUACACUGCCUCCCGCAGUUUGGUCAGACUCAUGUUUGUAGCUUCGAGAACACUGUCCAACUAUCUCGUCCUCUGUCGUCCCCUUCUCCUUGUGCCCUCCAUCUUUCCCAACAUCAGGGUCUUUUCCAGGGAGUCUUCUCUUCUCAGGAGGUGGCCAAAGUAUUGGAGCCUCAGCUUCAGGAUCUGUCCUUCCAGUGAGCACUCAGGGCUGAUUUCCUUCAGAAUGGAGAGGUUUGAUCUUCUUGCAGUCCAUUGGACUCUCAAGAGUCUCCUCCAGCACCAUAAUUCAAAAGCAUCAAUUCUUCAGUGAUCAGCCUUCUUUAUGGUCCAGCUCUCACUUCCAUAUAUCACUACUGGGGAAACCAUAGCUUUAACUAUACGGACCUUUGUCAGCAAGGUGAUGUCUCUGCUUUUUAAGAUGCUGUCUAGGUUUGUGCUUGCUUUUCUCCCAAGAAACAGAUGUCUUUUAAUUUCGUGGCUGCUGCCACCAUCUGCAGUGAUCAUGGAGCCCAAGAAAGUAAAAUCUCUCACUGCCUCCAUUUCUUCCCCUUCUAUUUGCCAGGAGGUGAUGGGCCCAGUGGCCAUGAUCUUCGUUUUUUUGAUGUUGAGCUUCAGACCAUAUUUUGCGCUCUCCUCUUUCACCCUCAAUAAAAGGUUCUUUAAUUCCUCCUCACUUUCUGCCAUCAAGGCUCCAUGUAUAUAUUCAGUGUAUAUAAGAAAGUCUCUCCAAGUGCCAGCCUUUUCCUUUCAGAAGAUCUAAUUAUAGAAGACAUUGAGGAAGAGCAAGAAGAGACUGUGCGGCACUGAAGCAGCUCCUAGAGGGGAUGAUCAGCAAGACCAGGACCAAGUCUCAGAUGUGUGCAAUUCACCACUCUUUAAAUACAUGGACAAGGGUUAUGCAAACUUGGCCACUCAUUGGCUGUCCCAGGAGAAGGCAUGAAGAAGAAAGGCCCAGUUACUCCACAGGGCGAAGCAGGUGGAGGAGCUUCCUGUGGCAUUGAGGAAGAUGAUGACUAUGCAAGUGGGCUGUUGUAACUCCAGCACAACUCGACUCUUAAAAAGCAACCUAGCUGUUUCUGGCCAAUGAGCAAUUCUGGAAGCUCCCUAAUAAUUGCCACCAGUUCACUGCAAUCAGGAAAUUGGAAACAGAACAAUUUGUCUGCAUCUGGGAAACUUGUAGAGAAAGCAUGGCUGGAAAAAUCUUUUUUAAUAAUUCCAGUGGCACCUUUAAGAUCAACUAAAUAUAAGCUUUCAAGGUAUGAGCUUUCGUGUGUAAUACACACUUCAUCAGAUACUCUGAAGCAGAGGUCGGUUCAACCUUAUAACUGUUGAUGACUGUUAUGGCAGUUGGUUCCACAGGGAAGGGCAAGGGAUUUUUAAAGGGAUAGACGACCAAAAUUAGCUUUAGUAUGUAUAAUGGGACAUGAAUCCAAUAUCUCUAUUCAGACCUGGUCUCUCCAUAGUUUUAGUUUGGUAAUGAGUUGUAAUUCAGCAACUUCUCUUUCAAGUGUAUUUCUAAAAUUCUUUUGCAAUAAGACAGCUACUUUAAGAUCUUGUAUAGAAUGUCCUCGGAGACUGAGGUGUUCUCCUAUUGGUUUCUCUGUUUUAUGAUUCCUGAUGUCAGAUUUAUGCCCAUUUAUCCAAAAGUUUGUCCUGUUUGUCCAAUAUAGAGAGCUGAAGGGCGCUGUUGGCAUUUGAUAACUUAUAUAAUGUUGGAAGAUGAACAAUUAAAUAGGCCUGAGGUGGUAUGUUUGAUGUUAUUGGGGCCAAUAAUGAUGCUGUCCGGGUGUCUGUGGCAGCAAAGUUGUCAUCUAGAUUUAUUGCAGGCUCUUGUGGCAGUGUUCAUGUUCAGUGGCGUAGGAAGAGGGGGCGGGGGGAGCGGAGUGCCCUGGGUGCCAUCUCUGAAGGGGUGACGAGGGCACCCCGUGGGGAUGCCAUUGUGCCCAUGCCCGCAGCCGUGGGCAAAGGAUCCUCCGCACCACAGCGCCUCUUAGUCUCUCUCUCUCUCGUUCUCUUGCGCGCUACAAGUAUAGGGCACAUUUCUCUCCCCCUCCCACCUAUCGGGGAGGAGGUGGGGGUGGCAACAUUGCUGGCUCCCCCGCUCUGAAUACUUGGGAGUCGUGGGGGGGGGGUUGGCAUGCCAUUGCCCCAGCUCCCGAGUCCUGGCUGGAGCCUGGAGGAGCAGGCAGGAGGUGGGGAGAGGACGAGUUGCUCGGCUUUGCCGGCAAAGCCGUGCAGCUCCCUCCCCCCCUUUCUUUUUGCUCGGCAAAACUUUGGAGUUCUCAUUUUUCUUUCAUUUUCUUUUUUGCAAAAGCGUGUGUGGUGUCUGAAGACUGGAAGCACCUGUAAGAGGGUUCAGGCGGGCACAGUUUUUUGCCUGUUGUUUGGAUAGGUCAAGCAUCACCAGUUUUACGUCUGUGAAAUGAGCACUUUGUGGUGCCCAUGACAAUUUCUUAGAUAUAGGUUCCAGAAAGCUGAGGACCAUGGACUAUGGUAACUUAUAGGUUAAAUUACUGCAACUGGACUGCCUCUGAAGACUGGAAACUUCAGCUGGUGCAGAGUUCAGCAGCCAGGUUGCUCACCAGGGCAAGAUGGUUUGAUCAUAUUGUUAAGUUGUGGGUGAACAUAUCAGACGACACAGCAAUUCCUCAAACAGCUCUUGUUUAUUCACAGGCCAGAACAGAACUGAACUGAAGGGUUCAGCCAGCCUGCUUAUAUAGAGCUCCACUACAACGCAACAAUAACCACUUUCUGUAACUAUCCAAUCACUGAACUAUCCAAUCAAUCCCUUAUUUGCAUAUGUGGACCUGAGUGAAAACUAUCUACAGUAUCCCCCUGCUAGACCAGGGUGAGAACUUCAGUACAUAACAUAUAUAAUGCUGACCAUAUUGGCUACUACCAAUUACCUUCCAGACCCAAUUCAAAGUGCUGGUUUUGACCUAUAAAGCCAACAUCAAAGUUAGACUAAGUAUUUAGGCCUCAGGGGGCCUUGUGUGCUGUGAAUAUGUUUUCACAUCCUUUACGUUUGGAACAUGAAUAGCUAAUGGCUGACAACAACAGCAGUGCCUGUAUUUUUGUAAUCUGAGUGAGCAGCUUGACUGCUCAAAUAUCUGGAGAUUCAUUUGUUUUUUAGGUAGCUGUGUUUUCAGAUCAGCUGUGUAUUCCAAAGAAGCUCAACAAUUUUCCUAAAGAAAGCUCAACAACAAAAACUCCACAACUUUUGUCUGCCCCAGGUACUAGCAGGGAUUGCUACACUGCUGGAAAGUGAUCAAUACCCAAAACCUCUUGGAAACACAGGACAUGAAACAAUUAAAAUGACAGGUGUGGAAGAACAUUCAAAAUGUCAUCAAAACAGUCAUUAUAUAAGCGUGUGUGUGUGUGUGUGUGUGUGUGUGUGUGUGUAGAGCUAGGCAGCAAUAAAUCACAAGAAGUAAGUUAACUCUGUAUUAGGAGAAACAAAGUCUGCUCAGAAGUGUCAUUGCAAAGACUUAAAACUGAGAACCAUUUGGCCCACCGAGUGAAUCCUUCAGUUAAUUCGUUCAUAGUCUUACAAUGUAGAUUCUCCAUAUUAUGAGCCUGAAGAAAAAGAAUAAUAAAAGCCACACCCAGAUAUUGUCCCUGGGCUAAUGCAUGAAAAAGCCUUUCUCUCCACCUUCAUUCCCAUAAGCUCUACAUAUCACUUUAAAGCAUAGCUGUUUUUCACCUCUAUCCCACCUGGUCAUCAGAACAACUGAUGUUUAAGAAUUGGUGCCUGAGCUUGCUUUUAAGGCCCUCCUCUUCCCUUCUUCCUUGUGUGUCAUGUCUUUUUAGAGGGACUGUCCUCCUGCUGCUCUUUGUAAGCCAGUACGGGAGCUUUUUCAGCUAAAGAGUGAAGUACCAGUAGAAUACUCUUCUACAAUAUUUGAACUAGAAAGAUGGGUUGGGUGCAUACCAGAUUUUAAGAAUUUGUUGUGCUCCAUUUGGAAAUCUUUUCAUUGGACAGGAUGCUUACCUUUUAGUCAACUGCAGCUUUAAACUGUAGCAUGUACCAGAAAGCCAAAUUUAUUUCCCCACUCCUCCUGAUAAAUAAGAAUACGCCUCAGAUAAGGAAUAGCAAGUGAAUUGUUCAGCUAAAUGAAAAAUAACUUGUGAAUUUCAAUCCUUUCCCCAUUAUUUUGACCAGUUACAAUAGCAGUCCAGCUGGCAGGAAACUCUAAAAAAAAAAAAACAAAAAAACCACACACACAGAAAACACGACCUGCCAUACAAACUAGCAUAUUUGUUGUAUGAAGCAACGUGUACACAGGAUCAGUGCUGAAAAGAGUGUAAUUUUUAGCAGAGCAGCUAGAUAACAUGGGUUGCUUGGGGUUUCUGUUUGCAGAAAAAAUUAGGCAUGCCUUUCUUACGCCAUACAGCUUUUCUUCUCACAAAGAAUGGCUGAUGUAGGACAGAGCACACAAAUUAUAAUGGUCCUGUAAAGAAGAAUUAUCAAGAGUGAUAAAAGAAAUGCAGAUGUUCUAUAUCUGUCCUUGACUGCAUCUGAUGGUUAAAUAAGUAGAAGGCAGCUUGCAUAACCAACCUUUCUCCUCUCUGCAGAGGGUCAUCGGAAUUGCAAUGCAAUGGGGAAAUCAUCUAAAAUUGGGUGGAGGGAUCUUGCAUAUGAUCAGUUUGACCCCAUACCCCAAGACUGCAGCUCUAUGCAACACAGCCCAUGCCAACCUUGGGGGUUGGAGAGAAAGCAGGGCUUUUCUCACCGGGAAUUCACAGGACCUUAGUUCCGACACCUCUCAGGUGGGCGCCAGUGCCAUUCUAAGAGAGGAAUUCUGACACCUCUUUUUCUAGAAAAACAACACAGAUUACAUAUCUGUCCCAACUUAAGGCUGCAUAUAUCUCCCCCUUCAUGUGUUAUCCUCACAAAAACCCUGUGAGGUAGUUUAGGCUAGGAGUCAGUGACUGGUAAAGGGUGACCCCGUGGGCUUCACUGCUGAGUGAGGACUUGAACUCUGGUCUCCCAAGUGGUACAGUGGUGCCCCGCAAGACGAAUGCCUCGCAAGACGGAAAACCCGCUAGACGAAAGGGUUUUCCGUUUUUGAGUUGCUUCGCAGGACGAAUUUCCCUAUGGGCUUGCUUCGCAAGACGAAAAUGUCUUGCGAGUCUAGAGAUUUUUGUUUCGCUUUCCCCCCCCGUUAUCUAAUCUGCUAAGCCUUUAAUAGCCUUUAAUAGCCUUUUAGCAGCUAAUCCGCUAAGCCUUUAAGCCUUUAAUAGCCGCUAAACCGCUAAUAGCGCUAAUCCGUUAAGCCGCUAAUAGGGUUGCUUCGCAAGACGAAAAAACCGCUAGACGAAGACUCUCGCGGAACGGAUUAAUUUCGUCUUGCGAGGCACCACUGUAUUCUGAUACUCUAACCACUGUACAACACUGGCUUAGUUUCUCAAGGCGCUUUCCAUUUGGGCAGCCAUUAGAUGCCACCCUGCCUUGAGGGCUGAGCUUAUGGCUGAGCUAGAGAGAUUUAUUUUAGUAAUGUUUAUGGAGAACCCUGCCAUAGAUAUUUCCAGACUGCAAAACAAAUACAAAUAUUCAGAUUCUCUGCCUGUUUAUCAAAUAGGUUUUACAGUGCUCCAGUUCACAUCUCAGUCACAGCGAAAGCUUCUAUAUUUUGAUCCAUGCCAUCAGGCUACUCCUUCAAGCAGUAGCCAUUCCAUCAUGCUGGAGGGAGAGAAGGAACUGCAGAGCCCCUCUAUUAACUAGGCUGACAGACCAGAGAUUUUGCCUCAUUCUCUUCUCAAACUGUUUCCAUUCAGACUUCUUGUUUGAAGAACUAGUGGCUACGUUCGCAUUUUUCCUCUUCCCUACUGUGGUGUUUGCCUCCUAGGUGGGUCAUAAGGAAAGGGUUAAAUGAGUGUGAAGUGAUUGGCCAGUGGGAACCCAAGGGGAUGAGUUAGAGUUAGAGUUGGAGUUGUGUGGAAGUCAGCUGGGAGUUGGAGAAGGAAGAGGGAGGAUAAAUCUGUGGGUUGGUCGAGUUUUGAUGUGAGAGAAACUAAUAGGAGGAGUCAGAUAGACAGUUGGGAUAAUCAAUUAGCAGUUAUUAGGAAGUAUAGGCCGGUAUAGAAACUAAGGAUAAGAAACGGACAAGAAAAAUUAACUGAAACCAUAAACUUGUUCAUGCUUAUAAAAUAAACUUGAUUAUUUGUUUUAAUGUUAAUAAACUGUCUGGACUCAGUGUGUACCCGAGAGAAACGGGUUGGUGGCAGCAGGGAAGUGGUGGCACAGGGAUCAAUAGACCGUCAAACGUCCGGGGACCCUGUGUGAUCGCCACACCUACCAAUCCAUUUUCCUUUUGUAUCCUGUCGUUGAGAUUGUCAGGACAACAGCAGAGACCAUCUUACUAUUGAUAUUUGUAAGCUGCUCUCGGGGGGGGGGGGGGAAUUCCAGUAGCUCCUCAGAGACCAACUAAGUUUGCUCUGGGUAUAAGCUUUCAUGUGCAUGCACACUUCUUCAGAUAUCUGAAGUAUUUGAAGAAGUGUGCAUGCACACGAAAGCUUAUACCCAGAACAAACUUAGCUGGUCUCUAAGGUGCUACUGGACAUAUUUUAUAUUUUUUUUGACUGCGUCAGACCAACAUGGCUACCUACCUGAAUCUGUAAGCUGCUCUGGUAGUCAUCUUUGAUUUUUAUUUUCUGACAAAAUGUGCAGUUGUGGAACUAUUGAAACACAAUAAUAAAGAACAAAAAUUGAGGAUUAUACUUCUUGACUACACUUCUUGUGUAUAGCUGCCUCUCUUGGUUAGCAAGUGUUUACAUGCAAAUUUAGAAAACGUUUAUUGUUUCUAUUCAUAUUCCAUUUUAUUGUCAGACAUCAAUUGCUUAAAUUACUCCUAAAUGGAAAUUUAAGGGUGAACAAAUCUUAUACAAUUUCAACAAUUCUCAAAUGCUUCUUUUGAAUUGGUAAUAAAUGGUAUCAUUUGCCACCAAGCAUAAAACAUCUGUCUGUUAAUCCCCUACACAACUCUUCACAAUUAACUCUUACAAGACCAGCAGCACACUGGUUUCUACAUCUUUUCUAAAGAAAUCUGAGCUCUUCUAAAUAAGACAAGAGUCGUUUUUGUGUGUGUAACUUUGCUGGGUACAAACUUUAAGGAGGAUCCCCUGAUCAGAAGAAACUUGUGAGCCAGUAGGACAGCAACCUUCAGAAUUUUCAUAUCUCCCACAAAUGAUAAAUUCAUUGUUGUGGGUUUUAGAAUAUACAGUGUUCUAAAAUCAGUAUUGGUUGCACUGGCAGGGCAAAUCUAGUUAUCCAGGAUUUCCGUCACAACAAUUCAAUUUUUGCAAAGUUCAAUUAUGCUUUACUUACAAAUUGGCUAUAGGCCAUUACAGUUCAAACAUACAAUACAUAACAUGAUAAUCCAUAUCUUACAAAGUGAUACAAUGGGUAAAUGUUGGAUCAACGUAAUUAGUUAUCAGAGCACUUAGGGUAGAAACUCUCAGAAGAUUUCAAUGAAAGCAGCAUGAAAUUUAGAUUAAUAUAUAUUCUGUAAUGCAUCUUAACAAAAAGUCAUUCUUUUCAAAAUCUAACCAAUUUCCCUUAGCCAACAAAAGCUGCGAGAUAAGUACUGACUGACGUGAUUCGGUAGCUUUUGUAACGUGGUUAUGCAUAUCUAAUACUUUUCAAGAUUUUUUUUGUGUGGAGUAGACUUUUGGAGCCAAACUAUAUCAUAAUUUGUCAGAUCCUUGUACGCUCAAAACUUCCCAAUUCAAUGUUUCUAUAUGAUGGUGUUAGGCAAUCUUGUUUCAAAUCCCUUGUGUACAUUUUUUUUCAAUCAAAAAGCCAUUCUUGGAACAUAGUCAAUAAUACCAUUAGAGAUUUCAAAGGGGGGGGGGGGAAUUUGACAAACCAGUAUUUCCACUGUAACUAGCCUGCCCAGUGUUCAUGUUUUCCUAAGUGGCUCUGUCGUCUUAUAUUGUCUUAAACACUGAAUAUUUGAGAGCACUGCCAAAUGUUUAUUGCAUGAUGUAGUAGUAAAGGUAAAGGGACCCCUGACUGUUAGGUCCAGUCGCAGACGACUCUGGGGUUGCGGCGCUCAUCUCGCUUUAUUGGCCGAGGGAGCCGGCAUACAGCUUCCGGGUCAUGUGGCCAGCGUGACUAAGCCGCUUCUGGAGAACCAGAGCAGCGCACGGAAACGCCGUUUACCUUCCCGCCGGAGCAGUACCUAUUUAUCUACUUGCACUUUGAUGUGCUUUUGAACUGCUAGGUUGGCAGGAGCAGGGACCGAGCAACGGGAGCUCACCCCAUCGUGGGGAUUUGAACCACCGACCUUCUGACCACAGCACCACCCACGUCCCAAUGUAGUAGUAGUAAGAAGCAAAAAAAGCACUCACUCACAGCUGAUAAUAGUUCUUCACUUUGUUCUAGUGUGUCCAAGGAAAAUAGUCCACAUCCAUUUGCACCUCAGUCACAGAAACACAGUCCUCUUAAGAUUUUCAGUAACAUCUAAACAUUCUUCUUUCAGGUAAGUGAUUGUGUCCUCUGCAAACAACUUUGAAACAACACUGACCAAUAGCCCUUUAUAGAUGUUUUCCAAUAGCCCUUUAUAGAUGUUUUCCUUGAAUUUCUGGAUUGAACUUGCCAUUUCUCAAUCAGGCAUAAAGUCAGUGAAAGGGUGCUGUCAGCCCCUUUUAGCUAAAUAGCAGCAAAGUAGCUUGGCAUCUUUAUUUAUUUGUUUGUUUUACAGAUAAAGAAGAAGAAAAUGCAUUGUGAACAAACAAGCAGCAUCAGCAGUAGUCGUAAAAUAAGUCACAAGCAAAAAGAUAUAAACAAUUGUUCUCUAAAUUGUUUCUAAUAACAUAAAGGGUGAAUGUUUUCUUGUGUUGUUUUAUACUUAACCAAAAUGCUCCAUUUUUAAAUGAAUAAAUUAUCAAGUUGCCUUCCUUCCUUCACUCGUACACUAUUAGUCAAUAUUAGUCAACUUUGAGAGUUGAGUCCAACUUACCGGUGCUUAGGGUAGACUUACUGAUAUCAAUGGACUUAAGUUAGCCAUGCCAAUUGAUUUUAAUGGGUCUACUCUGAGUAUAACUUAAGUGGGCUACAUCUAG